CUCGAAAUAGCUAUUGGAAGAGCGUUAGACUAUAAAUCGAAAGGUCCCUGGUUCGAUCCCGGGAUUCGGCA
rnacentral:tRNA from 1 species